UACGGGGGGAUCAAGCGUUGUUCGGAAUUAUUGGGCGUAAAGGGUGCGUAGGCGGCUUUACAAGUUCUGGGUGAAAGUCUCCCGCUUAACGGGAGGAGGUCCUGGGAAACUGUAGAGCUGGAGUGCUGGAGAGGCCGGCGGAAUUCCUGGUGUAGCGGUGAAAUGCGUAGAGAUCAGGAGGAAGAUCGGAGGCGAAGGCGGCCGGCUGGACAGACACUGACGCUGAGGCACGAAAGCCAGGGGAGCAAACGGG
rnacentral:misc_RNA from 1 species